rnacentral:rRNA from 1 species
GAUGAACGCUGGCGGCGUGCCUAACACAUGCAAGUCGAGCGAAUAGACGAGGCUCUUGCCUCUCUGACGUUAGCGGCGGGCGGGUGAGUCACACGUGGCUGCCCUACCUAUAAGACUGGGAUAACUUCGGGAAACCGGAUCUAAUAUCCGUUAUUAUAUUGAACCUCAUGGUUCAAUAGUCCAAAACGGAUUUGCUGUCACUUAUACAUGGUUGCGCGCCGGAUUAGUUAGUUGGUAAGGUAACGGCUUACCAAGGCGACGAUGCGUAGCCGACCUGAGAGGGUGAUCAGCCACACUGGAACUGAGACACGGUCCAGACUCCUACGGGAGGCAGCAGUAGGGAAUAUUGCGCAAUGGGCGAAAGCCUGACGGAGCAACGCCGCGUGAGUGAUGAAGGUCUUCGGAUCGUAAAACUCUGUUAUUAGGGAAGAACAAAAGUGUAAGUAACCAUGCACGUCUUGACGGUACCUAAUCAGAAAGCCCCGGCUAACUACGUG